CAGAGAAGGAGCUUGCUCCUUUGACGUUAGCGGCGGACGGGUGAGUAACACGUGGGCAACCUACCCUAUAGUUUGGGAUAACUCCGGGAAACCGGGGCUAAUACCGAAUAAUCUAGUUCACCUCAUGGUGAACUAUUAAAAGACGGUUUCGGCUGUCGCUAUAGGAUGGGCCCGCGGCGCAUUAGCUAGUUGGUGAGGUAAUGGCUCACCAAGGCGACGAUGCGUAGCCGACCUGAGAGGGUGAUCGGCCACACUGGGACUGAGACACGGCCCAGACUCCUACGGGAGGCAGCAGUAGGGAAUCUUCCACAAUGGGCGAAAGCCUGAUGGAGCAACGCCGCGUGAGUGAAGAAGGAUUUCGGUUCGUAAAACUCUGUUGUAAGGGAAGAACAAGUACAGUAGUAACUGGCUGUACCUUGACGGUACCUUAUUAGAAAGCCACGGCUAACUACGUGCCAGCAGCCGCGGUAAUACGUAGGUGGCAAGCGUUGUCCGGAAUUAUUGGGCGUAAAGCGCGCGCAGGUGGUUUCUUAAGUCUGAUGUGAAAGCCCACGGCUCAACCGUGGAGGGUCAUUGGAAACUGGGAGACUUGAGUGCAGAAGAGGAUAGUGGAAUUCCAAGUGUAGCGGUGAAAUGCGUAGAGAUUUGGAGGAACACCAGUGGCGAAGGCGACUAUCUGGUCUGUAACUGACACUG
rnacentral:rRNA from 1 species